UACGGGGGGGGCAAGCGUUGUUCGGAAUUACUGGGCGUAAAGGGCUCGUAGGCGGCCAACUAAGUCAGACGUGAAAUCCCUCGGCUUAACCGGGGAACUGCGUCUGAUACUGGAUGGCUUGAGUUUGGGAGAGGGAUGCGGAAUUCCAGGUGUAGCGGUGAAAUGCGUAGAUAUCUGGAGGAACACCGGUGGCGAAGGCGGCAUCCUGGGUCGAGACUGACGCUGAGGAGCGAAAGCGUGGGGAGCGAACAGG
rnacentral:rRNA from 1 species